GCAUGGUUCAAGCACUUACAUGAUGGUCUGAGGGCCGCAAGAUAAGGAUGGUGACAAAGAUAGGCAUGCCUUGAACAUGUUCCUCACUUCCUAACUUUGCAGCCCGCUCCGCCUAUGCGUGGUCGAUGGUGGGAACGGCGGCUCUGCUGUUGGGCACGUCCUGCUGGUGUCACGCGAUCCUCCGAGGUGGCUCUGACGACAGCGCCCAUUGUUCCUCUGCUUUCUAAGCUAUCGCCCCACUGGAUCCAUCAAAGGACCUGUGGCCAUGCUGUGCUUCGGCGAAGCUGCAGAAGGUGCUCGACGCCUGAGAAUCGCACGCAGUAGCACAACUGGCGUCAUUGAGGAGGUAAUGUACGUGCCCCGACCUGCCGGCGUGCUGCCCUUCGGCGACGCUGCGGUGGCUGCUCGAUACCGGAGAAUCGCACGCAGCAGCACCGCCGCGAGCAGCGCAGCCUUCGUGAAGUGCAUGGCAUGCUGCAGCUCCUGCGCCUCCAGCGAUCCAGUGUUGCCGAACGAGGUCACGUGGGCUACUCUUUCCCUAGAAAGAGUACGCGCGCGUGGCCAGGAAGCUUAUAUUUACGCUUUUGCUUUCGUGAUUAGUCACUUUUUGUUCUACUACUUCUGUAAUAUAUCAAUAAAUAUGGUUUUGAUUGUCUACUCGCGUGAGGACUAUGCUAAAACGCUGUCGUAUC